UUUUAUCUUUUCUUUUUUUUUUUUACUUCAAAAUUUAAUUAUUCAAGAUAUCAAAGAUGCUGUGUUUGAGAUGAUUAACUACACUGGAGAAGCAGAGACAGUUUAGGACUGGUAACAAAGACAUUUGACAAGGGAAAGAUGAUCUGCCAUGAAUUUAUACAUAUAUAGUUUUUCUUUCCUUCUCUCUCUCUCUUGAAUUGGUAGAAAAUAGAUAUAGAGACAAGCAUCCUCCUGUUCAUGAAAAAUUUUUAUUUUUCUACAAUUUCAAAAAAAGAAUAUGUGCAUACAUAAUGUUAUGUUUUUAUUCUUUAGUAAUGGAUGUUCAUCUUGAUUAGUUGAUGAUAUUGGUGUUGAAUAUGGAAUUUUACAUUUGUUACUGGUACAACUUGAUUGCCAAAGAAAUUGAGGUGUUUCACCAAGGCUAUUCAUGAUGUAAUUUUAUUUGUUUGUCCUUAAUUAUGGGCUGCACAGUAUUACCUAAACUGAACAUGCUCUUUUGCUUUUUUAUUGUUCUUAUGAUCUUCUUGAGAACUCCAAGAAUUCAUUUUGGAGUCUUUAACCUGAGGUUAUUGCAGUCUUAUUCAUGAAGAGGAUUUCUGUUGUACAUUUGUGAAAGUUGUAACAUUACUUGUGAUAUAAUAUAUAGCAAUAAAUUGUUGGAAACAUUAUGGAAGUACUUAGACUUGCUAACUUAAGAAUAUGGUUCUAGCAUCAGAAGAUAGAACAGCUAACUAAAUAUUUUCCUGAAAAAUACAGCUAUUUAUUAUUAUGGACUUAUGCAUUCCUAAUAUUUUUUAAAAGAAUUCUAAAUUGCAUCUUCAGCAUAUAUUGCAAUCAGGGUAUGUAAAACUUUCACUUUGAUUGCCUAAAUUUUCAGGUUGACGGAUCACAGUGUAAGAAUUGCCUUGUUUGGGCUAAAAGUGACAGUUUAGCAAGGGACUUAAUCAAACUAUCAUCGGAUAUUGCGGUGGGCUAUAUUGUUAUGGUGGAUCCUAAUACAGGCAUGAGGAUGAACUUACUAAGAAUGAAGGGAGCUGGGGUGGUUGGUGUUUACCAUCCAUUGAUUGACGAAAAACUCAUGAGAAUUCUGCAUGGGUAUGAACUGCAUUAUGAAAUCUGUGUUACAGUGCAGCAAAUAUUGGUUUUACUUGUAAAUUAGGGUUUGGCAUUUGAUUAAUAACAGGAGGAACAAAACGGUGUAUGCUUGGACUGUUGAUGAUGUGGAUUCCAUGCGAAGAAUGUUGUUUGAGCGGGUAGAUGCUGUCGUCACAAGCAACCCCAGUCUACUUCAACAGAUUAUGCAAGACACUAGAACUCAAUGUCGCGAAGAAGGAUAUACUCUGCCGCAGUGAUACCUAUAUCGUUUGAGUUUGAACCUCUGCUAUACUGCCAUCAACCUCUUCUAUUUUUUGUGGUUAUUACAAGUUACGAAUCUCCUCCCAUCUUUGGAGGUAAGAUGUAGAUUUUAUGUCGUAUAGCAACUGUUAGGUAAACAAAAUUAAUGAUUCCUGGAUUAUAACUCGAGAUUUGGUCUUAAUUUCACCAAUUGUCCUUUCAAUUUUUCAGUUAAAACUUCCAUCGUUGAUUUAAUGAACAUAAACAAAAGCCCA
rnacentral:misc_RNA from 1 species